CCUGUGGCUGGGGGUGAAAGGCCAAUCAAACCGGGAGAUAGCUGGUUCUCCCCGAAAGCUAUUUAGGUAGCGCCUCGUGAACUCAUCUCCGGGGGUAGAGCACUGUUUCGGCUAGGGGGCCAUCCCGGCUUACCAACCCGAUGCAAACUGCGAAUACCGGAGAAUGUUAUCACGGGAGACACACGGCGGGUGCUAACGUCCGUCGUGAAGAGGGAAACAACCCAGACCGCCAGCUAAGGUCCCAAAGUCAUGGUUAAGUGGGAAACGAUGUGGGAAGGCCCAGACAGCCAGGAUGUUGGCUUAGAAGCAGCCAUCAUUUAAAGAAAGCGUAAUAGCUCACUGGUCGAGUCGGCCUGCGCGGAAGAUGUAACGGGGCUAAACCAUGCACCGAAGCUGCGGCAGCGACACUCAGGUGUUGUUGGGUAGGGGAGCGUUCUGUAAGCCUGCGAAGGUGGCCUGUGAGGGUUGCUGGAGGUAUCAGAAGUGCGAAUGCUGACAUAAGUAACGAUAAAGCGGGUGAAAAGCCCGCUCGCCGGAAGACCAAGGGUUCCUGUCCAACGUUAAUCGGGGCAGGGUGAGUCGACCCCUAAGGCGAGGCCGAAAGGCGUAGUCGAUGGGAAACGGGUUAAUAUUCCCGUACUUGGUGUUACUGCGAAGGGGGGACGGAGAAGGCUAUGUUGGCCGGGCGACGGUU
rnacentral:rRNA from 1 species